UCUCUGCUCCCCGCUCCUUGAAAAGACAUCAUAAAAUGGCAGCAUUUCUGACAAAGCUUUCCAAUGGAUUCAGACUGAUAAGCCCCAAAAGGUCUCUGGCACCUGGUAGGUGCCUCAUGAAUGUCUCCGAUGUUUGAUGAGUGGUUGGUAAAGGUCAGUACACCUCCUAGACCGUGGGGCUGGUGAAAUGCUCCCGUUGCACGAAGCGUUUCCCUCUAACUUGCCGGUUUGCUGGAUAAAGUUCAACGGACGCCACAGAAUAUGGAGCAUCAUCUACAAAUUCAGAGGCAGCCCUCUUCUCCGCCUUCAGCCUUGACAUUCAAGGACAGACACAGGGCUCCUGGAAGGAGACGCAGAGGCAAGGCUUCUGGGGGUGAGGGUGUUGUUCCCUCGCUCUCACAAAGGGCACUUCCUUAUCAGAGAAAGGAUGUGGAUGCCUGUGGACCCCCAGAGCGCGCCCGAGGUCAGAGGAGAGAGGGGCCUUCAUGUUAUGAUCGAGAGCACAGAACAAUACAACAGACCCUGUGUGAAGGGAGCUCCCUUCCCUCGUGAGGAGAAUGCAGAAAAGGACACCAACACCUGCUCAGAGAGAAAAAUGAGACUGGCGUCAGGAAUAGGAAAGACCAGAAAGGUGUGAGGGUAGAGACAGCGCCUGACAACUCCAUGGAAGGAGCAGAGGACUCGAGGAGCUCAUUCCUGACCCUCCUAUAAUCCAGAAGCAGCCACCCCAUGAUAUUUUGAGAGUUCCUGGGUACCUUCUUUCUUUUCCCCUUUUCUCUUUUUGCUAGCUGGAACAAUUUUCAGAAACUCCCAAAAAACAGUUUGAUUAGCAUGAAAAAGCUAGGUACUGAGUACAUGUUUGAAAUGUUCCAUAACAAAAAGUUUUUAAAGCUUUACAAAAAAAUUUUUACAAAAGUAAAUAGUCUAUUUCCUUUUAAGUAACUUUAUCUUAACUUAGACAUAUUAAAAUUAAAAUAAGUGAUAGGAAAGACAUACUAAGAUUAAAAAAAACACUUGAGAUUGCUUUCAAAUGGCGACAGAGAUUUAUUUUCUGGUACCUUGAAAUGCAUUCAUCAGAAAUAGGGCAGGCUACUAUUAUUAGCAAUUGACAGGAAAGUUGUCGCUCAGAAGUAACCAUAUUAAAGAUUUCAGACAUCUUAACACAACAGUUGGUGAUGAAUAAUGUCAAUUUGUUCAUUAUACCUAUGCACCUGAAAGUUCUAUUUUUUAUGCUAUAAAUUAGUUGACCCAAAUGUGUUUUUUUAAUAGGUUUGUUUAAGAAGUAUAAACAGUUUUUAAAAGAGAACAGUGUAUACUUCUUCUAUUAUUUGCAAAUUGCCUUGGAGAAAGACCGCUGCCCACCUCUGUUUGUGAAACUGAAAGGAUAGCGUAAGCGAGAGGAGGAGCCAGCGUGCAGGGAAGAGAAGUGACGCGAGCGGCCUCCCCUCCAGGAGCUCCAUCAGCAGCCAGUCCUCCCUCAUUUUCAAGUGGGGGUCACUGAGUGAAAGAACACAGUGACCCGGGCCACAGGGGCCCUCCUCCUCCUCCUCCAUCACUUCUCCCAGCCCCUUGCUCGGGUCCCUGUGAGCCCACAGGAGGCGGCCAGCCCACAGCGCCACAGUCCCUCCUGGUCUGCCCUCCCACUUCCCUGCGCUCCUCGUCCAGCCUGGAUACCAAUGUCCAUGCCCAGACACCCCAGACCCUGUGCCCCUCUCCUCCUGAAACAGUCCCAUCCCUGGAUGACCCCACACACGUCCUUGGCUGGCCGCAGCCGUCACUUCAUUUGCCUACUUUUUCGUCAUCUACCAUUAAUUCAUCUUCAAACUCUCCACAAGAAAUGCUCAUCUCCUCACGCCAAGUUCAAAAACACGAGGUAACCCAUCUGUUUCCUUCUUGGAGACAUCCGUCCUGGGCCUUGCUAUCCUCCUGCUUCAAUCUGGACCAAUGACUUUUCUAGACCUACUGCCCAGCUAGACACUUGUCAAUUUUAUUGGUCCUUUCCAAAACCAACAUUUUACUUUGUUGAUAAUAUUGAAUUUUUUGUUUUCUGUCUCUUUACUUUCAGCUCUUUACUUUUCCUUCCUUCUGCUUUCCUUGAAUUUAUCCUGUUGUUAUCCUAAGCUCAUUAAUGUUCAGCCUUUUACUGUUGUUCUAAUAUAAGCAUUUAAGGUUAAAAAUGUCCUUUUGAUGGUAUCCUAUAAGCUUCGAUUUGCAGUGUUUAUUUGUAGGAUUUUUAUUAUCAUUCAGUUUAAAUUUUUUCUAAUUUGUUUUCUGAUUUCUUUUUGACUCAUGAAUUAUGUAGAAGUAUAUUUCCUGUUUCCCAAAUGCACGGGGGUUCUCUCUGUUUUUGUUAUUGAUUUCAACUUAAUUGCAUUAUGGUCAGAGAAUGUGGUCGAUAUGAGAAUUCUUAGAAAUUUGUUCAGACUUGCUUUAUGACCCACUACAUGGUCACUUUUCAUAAAUGGCUUAUACAUGCUUGAAAAGAAUAUGUAUUUCUUUUCAUUUGUUGAGAGCAAUGUCCCAUAGGUUGGCAUUAAAGAAGUUUGUUAAUUCUGCUGUUCAAAUCUUUCCUGUCCUUACUUUUAAAAACUAUUUCACCUAUCAGUUAUUGAAAGGUAUUAAAGUGUCCUGCAUGAUUUCUAUUUCUGCUUUGUAGUUCUCUCAAGUUUUGCUGAAUAUAUUUUGCAUGAAUAGAAUGUUGUUGGUUGCAUAAAAGUUUAGAAUUGUGAUAUGUUCCUGGUGAAUUAAACCUUUUAUAAUUUUUUAGAGACUGUCUAUCCAUAGUAAUGGUUUUGCUUUAAAACCUAUUUUGUGGGGCC
ensembl:lncRNA